rnacentral:rRNA from 1 species
CUGCUAAUACCGCAUAAUAUCCAGAAGAUUACACGCUUUUGGAUUAUCGGAUUUAUUCGCUUCGGGAGGGGCCUGCGUCCCAUCCGCUAGUUGGUAGGGUAAUGGCUUACCAAGGCUAUGACGGGUAGGGGACCUGACAGGGUGGCCCCCCACAAUGGAACUGAAACACGGUCCAUACACCUACGGGUGGCAGCAGUAGGGAAUAUUAGUAAUGGGCGAAAGCCUGAACUAGCAACGCCGCGUGUGCGAAGAAGGCCUUCGGGUUGUAAAGCACUUUUAUAGAGGAUGAGGAAGGACGGUACUCUCAGAAUAAUUCUCGGCUAACUACGUGCCAGCAGCCGCGGU